AAAUUUAAAGUUCUCCUACUCCAAAAUAAUUGAACCCCACGGACGUCCCCACCUCACAUAUAUAACCUCUUUCCCAAAAUUUUCAACCCUAGUCAAACUAAAAUAUAAUGCAUCUUAAUUCACUUUCCCCGAGUCAAAACACAAAAACUCUUCUUUCUUUAUUAAAUAGCCGCCGGCUGAAGGAAAAAGACCACCAGCCCAUGCUUCAAGACGCCGUCACGGCCACCGGAAACCCAAUCAUCUUUCUUUUAAUGUUUUUAUAUUUUGGAUGUGGAUGGCCAAACCCUGGAUGAUUUUACAGAUUUGUUUUUGUCGUCGGAAAACGGGGAAAAACCCGCAUAUGUCGUCGGGAAACAGACAAGCACCUCUGAUCUGGAAGAACUUCUCCAUCUUUGGCCACAAAUCGUCUCCGGCCACCUAAAAAAAACCCACCAACCACUUUUUUUCAAGCCGCCGAAAUCAUCUAUGGCCGCCAGAAAAUACCAUCCACCAUAUGUAUUGUUUAAUGAUUUAUUUGUUUGAUUUAUAAAUAUGUAUUUAUAUAUAUCAUUUAUAUUAUAGAAUUCUUGUUGGUUGAUAAAAUUUCAGAUUUUAUUUUAUGAAUACAGAUUUUUUAAUAUAUAAUUCUUGAUAUUUGUUGUUAGUU